CGGCAACAGCUCAAAUUUGAAAUCUGGCCCUCGGGUCCGAAUUGUAAUUUGUAGAGGAUGCUUUUGGUGAGGUACCUUCCGAGUUCCCUGGAACGGGACGCCAUAGAGGGUGAGAAUCCCGUACGUGACUGGGUGCCUUCGCUCGUGUAAAGCUCUUUCGAC
rnacentral:rRNA from 1 species